CGUCGACGGGGAGAGAUUGUCGCUCUCUUGGCUCGCUCACCCAACGCACCUCUUCAGCGUCUGGUGCUGCUAACAUCUCGCACUACACCCGCGCUGGAGGUUUCACAUGACGUUUACCUGUGGAGGAAUAUGCUUUGGUGAUUAAGGGUGUUUAUUAGCGAGCUGGAAGAAAGUUUAAAGUUAUGAAAACGAAUUUAUGAAUGAUGCUAAAGUCGAAUUCCCUUAGAUCAGGUAUAUGAGAACUAGUGAAUAUAGUGCGGUGACCUCUGUUGCGAUGCUCGCCCGAGUGUAGUGUGUCUGUGUGUUUGUAAGAGACACAACUAAUGCCGGGAUUCUGAUAUAUAAUUUCCAACGAAAAAUCGAACCAUAUACCGAAACUACUUCACUACUGAGAAUAACACUCGGUACCGGAAUAGUGUACAGGUAUUACACAAGCGGUAUUUUGAGGCAUCUUGACUCAGUUCGGUGGCGGAGGAGCACUGAGGGCGGCCAUGUGAAGUGUGGGCGUGGAGCAGCAGCAUCCCUGCCUCCAUCUCCAGUACCCUUGGGCUCCUUGGGCAUCUUAGCUCGAGGACGACCUCUACCACCACCUCAAGAGGCAACAACACCCGCCACGUCUUCAAGUGUUUUUCGCAAGCGUGUGCCGGAUAUAGUAAUGCUCAGGAGAGGAAUGUUUGAAGCCAAGUGUCUGUGAUACUAAGUGUUACUGAGACUUGCGGGAAAAGUGCUAGUGGAGUGUUACCUAGUCGAGUGUUUACUGUGAGGACAAAGUGAAAAUUAUCCAUCUGGGCUACUUACUAAAGUGCUUACUAAUUACUUAUAUGAAAGUGCUUAUUAGUCUCUCUUGCUAAUUUCUUUACUCUUGAUGAAUGAAACAAAGUGUUCCUAAUACCAACAACACACAAAUUAAUACAGUGAACAAGUUAAGAAAAAGUGUUUCUAUAACUGCAACACCACCAAAAGUGUUUAUUUUUUUCGAAGGGAGGACCGGAGAAGUGCUAGUGAGGGAUGACGUCGCGGCGGCUGGCACUGUGAGGGCCAACAAGUGCCUCUCCUCCCUGCCGGUGUUGUGUGGAGCUGCUGGGUAUUAUGUGUGACUGUGUAAGGACCAGUGUGGGGACUCAAGCAACAUGCACGUGCUGAAGAUCCUACUCACGGGAACAUUGUGUCUCCUCACUUGCGGCGGCCCUGGAAACCUAGCCUGGGCGCAGCAACGACAACUUUUCGUAAGCCGCCGAAGAACCAACACGUGAUCGAGGGCAACAUCGCCGUCAUGAAGUGUGAGGUCGGCAACCAGGCGGGGCGCGUCCAGUGGGCCAGAGAUGGCUUCGUCCUCGGCUUCAACCGCACUAUCCCCGGCUACCCACGAUACGAGAUGGUGGGUGACGGUAUAGGCGGGGAACAUCACCUUCGUAUACACAACACCUCGCUGGAAGACGAUGCUGAUUACCAGUGUCAGGUGGGCCCCGCUGAU